GUAAAGCCACUGAAUCCUGGAAGAGGUUUUGGAGAGUACUUACAGCAUUGUUUUUCAGGAAGUUCUAGACUCUUGAGAACUGAGCAGUCUCCAGAAGUUCCACACCCUGCUCCCCUUCCUCUCCCUCCAGCUCUUUUAAGCUGGAGGAGUGUGAAGAAAGCCCCUCCCUUUGCUCCACUUUCAGGUGAUUUUGUGAGGACCAAAUAUUUGGAGCCUUGGCAGCCACCUUGUGCCAAUGAGGAAAGACCAAAAGAAUUGCAGAGGCCUUUCCAGAGCUCUGACCGGAGUCAAUGAACCAAUCCUAGAAACACCUGUUGCUUGUUGGGUGAGAAGUUUCCUGGUGAUUAGGCUGCAUCCACUC
rnacentral:lncRNA from 1 species